AGCCGGCAGCUGCACUCUGGGAUGGGAUGGCAUGCUGCAGGACGGGUUCCAGUGUGGGUCCGCCAUCUGCUAGUCCCUGGACGAGGUGCCUCGCCCUUCCCGGUCGGGUUCUCUCAUCUCACACGUGAUCUUCUACUCUUACUGGGUUGGGCACAAUCCACAUGGGUUGGAACUCUGAAAUGACAACCACCACAAAGCCCCUGAAUCUAAGGAGGACAAGGAGGACCUAAACAGAGGACCCGAGGACUGUACAGCAGCCAGCUGCCCUGAACAAGUUUCCACAGGAUCAAUUCCAUCCUGGGAGCUUGAAGAACAUGGUAAACUGCGCUCCCCUUCCUAGGACACACAGAGCUGGGGACAGCGGCAGUCCUGAGCCCCUCAGCACCUGCAGCAAGCAAGCCCCAGCGUGCUGCCUAGCUCUCCAGCUCGGGCCUGCAGAGAGCCCCUGCCAUCAUACCCCGGGCUGGCCCUGGCUCCUUCACUCAUCCACCCCUCCGUCCAUCUGUCUGUCCGGUAGACUUUUCUCAUCCUCCCAUUAUGUGCCAGGCCCUAUUCUUUGUGCUGGGAUCAGAACUGAAGAAAACCAUGUCCCUGCUUUGCAGAGCCCACG